AGUGAACGCUGGCGGCAGGCCUAAUACAUGCAAGUCGAGCGAACGCAUAAGAAGAUUUCGCCUUUGCCGUUGGCGACGGACGGACGGGUGAGAAAUAGGUCAGCAUCCAAUAAGACUUGGAGAACAACGGGGAACAGCUGCCGAUAACGGCUAACACGUAGAACGGCAUGAUUCUGAAGAGCAUGAUACUUUUGCUAUCACUUUGAGAUGGUGCCGUGCCGUAUUAGCUACUUGGUAAGGUAACGGCCUACCAAGGCAACGAUACGUAGCUGACCUGAGAGGGUGAUCAGCCACACUGGAACUGAGACACGGUCCAGACUCCUACGGGAGGCAGCAGUAGGGAAUCUUCCACAAUGGGCGCAAGCCUGACGGAGCAACGCCGCGUGAGUGAUGAAGGUCUUCGGAUUGUAAAACUCUGUUAUUGGGGAAGAAAAAAAGUAUAUUUAUCUGUGCACGUCUUGACGGUACCCAAACAGAAAGCCACGGCUAACUACGUG
rnacentral:rRNA from 1 species